ACUUCUCCCUGCAACUGGAAUUGGUAAGCAGCAGAAGCAGUGGGCUUCUCCCUUUCUCUGGGUUUCAGCUCCUCCCCUUCUUCCACAAGGAACCAUUCUCGCCUCCCCAAAUCUGCUUCAACAAUGGCCCAGGAUUCCCUCCAGCCAGGACUUCUCCUCUGGGCCAGGAACAAGGCGAGUUAUCUGAACAAGAGUUGAUGACCGAGUAACUUUGGCACUUCCAGGCUGUCUCCCGGGGAUCUCACCCAGGGUCCUCUACGGGCCAGAACCUGCCCUGUCAGUUGCUGUGGAUCUUAAAGUCCCAAGAAGGGCGAGGGGAGGCACACCGAAGCAGCUGGGAGCUUCCCUUACCCUUUCAGCGCAUCGUGUCCUCCGCCGCCUCUUCUCUUGGCCCGAUUGGCUCUGGUCUCCUUCAGGCUCCCAGCCUCCAAAUUGGCGUCCGCCCCAUGGCUCGUGUAGGACUCGAGGAGCAGGGCGAACGCCAGCGCGACCUCCAGCAGCCCUCCUCGCCGCAUGGUGCCGCCGGCCGCCACUCGCUCCGCCGCCGCCGCCGCCGCCGCCGCCGCGCCUUCCAGCGGCCCGAGUCUCCGGGGUCCCGCUGUCUCACUGUCCGGCUGUCCUGAUGCAGAGAGGUCCCCGGCCUGGGUCCUACAGCUUUCUUCUCCAGGGACUGCUCCCACUUCGGGUAGUCCCUGCCUGUCCUGCAACACAGACAAGUCCCCAAGGCGGGGAGGUGAGACACUCAGGGCUCCGGGAUGCUGAAAGCUCGCAGUCCCCGGUGCCGAGCCCAGACCGCGCGCCGCCUGCGCGUGGCGCAGUUACUCGGAGGAACGAGGACCACUCGAUCCCAACUAGCUGCAGAGCCAGAACCCGGCGACUGGCAUCCGCGGACCCUGUGGCCUCGCGGCGCCAAGUACCGUGUCCCUAGGGAGCCCAGGCGUCCCGCGAGCGGACUGCCUACACGGUCUUAAUGGCACUGAUUGCGCGCGGUGACGGCUGACGCCCCAGCUCUCCAAAAAGGGUCCUCUCCGCCCACAUACCGGGUCAUGGCCAACCCCGCCAGUCCCCUGCAUCCGACGUGGAGCAGGGCACUGCAGUCCCGGAUCUUGCAGCUGUCAGGCAGAGAGGGCCAGCUGCAGAUGCUCGAGACAUCCCCUCACCCUGCCCGGCCUCCUGCCCUGGAUGCCGCGCAAACGGCCCUCCAGCCACCCGCCUGCCGCCCGACCCUGGCGGGACCCCAUGAGACCCACUGGACUAGCGGCUCGGACUCUCAGGCGGCGGUGGCUGCUCUGCUCCGCAGCUGUCCCAGCUGUGGCCGCCUGUGGCACCCACAGUCUCUGCCCCAACUCUGCGGCCCCCUCCUUUCCCACCUCUUCAAGUAUCGUCCGCGCAGCGGUUUCUCGCGAGAGAAAUACUUUUUUAAAAAAAAGAAAGAAAGAAAAAGAAAAUGACACCCUCCCCACCUCCCCCCAUCACCACCCCACCCCCGGCCCCAUCUAUCCUCCCUUUCCACUCCCCUCUGCCAGCCACCGCCCGGACCCGGGCCUCCCUCAUUCGCAGGAUCAGUGCCCUGGGAGGAGGCGGAGGUGAUCCAGUCCUGCCUGGCCUGGGAUAUUCCGUCCCAGGGUGGGGAAGAGAGGGAAUGGGAAGAGGUGGAGUAGCGGUUUAGACCGAUCUGCCUGCGGCUGAGAGGUCCAGACCCGAGAUUCCCGCGAUCAGAAGCACGGAGAGCUGGGCCACCUGCGCGGAGAACGCAUGCUGGACACCUUGGCCAACGAGGCCCAGGAGGCCCUGGCUGGAAAGGGGCUCUGUGGCAGUGGCCCUCGCUUCUCAGCCCAGUCUUCUGCUGUCUGGCUGGGAGGAGAAAUUGUAGGCUCCGAGGCUCAGGCAGGGCUUGUGGUGAGGCCACCACCACUGAGCCAGCCAACAGGUUAGCGGCGGCGAAAGGGGCAUGCCAGUGUCAGGAGCCCGCUGGAGGAGCAAUUCUCCCGAGGCUCAGGUCAAGCUACUCACCUAGGCUAAAUGAAGAGGCUGCGAAAGUCUCAGUCUGUGAUGUGGGGGCCUGUGAUUUGGGUUUCAGACAAUCCUCCCGCCCAACUCUCAGUUAGGAAUGGGGUUUCCUAAAAUAACCCUAUUUUCACAUGUGUACACACUAUACAGAGAGCACAUACACACACAUGCAUGGGAUUGGGGUGGGGUGGGGGUGUCUGAAAUCCACAUCGGGCUCGACCGCAGGGACCAGGGACUCCAGUCACCAACUGUCACUUUCCACACAGUUACCCUAAGAAUGCACGCAUCUUGUUGACCCGGAUUUUUCUUGUUUUCAACAUCUUGUGCCCGGAUAUGAGAUUAUAGAGAUCGAGGCAUGUUAUCAACUCCAUCUUCUUUUCAAAAUGGACCACGCCUCAUGAUAAUGGACUCACUGCACUGCUUCGAUACCUGAAUAGGAAGACUUAAACACUGAUUUAAAUUCAUAAUUAUUUAAAUAUAUUAUCUAGUUUAAUUGAGGUCUUACUUUCAAAAAAAAAUCCUCUUAACAGAUCCAUGAACUGGAGAUUCCGUCCUACAUCUUCAGGUGAGAAAAGAGGUAUUCAUUCGAGGGCCAGGAGAUGGCUCUGAGCAAAUAAAGCACCAAGCCUGGUAACGUGCGUUCUAGCACCAGGAACUACCUGGCAGAAGGAAGGAAAGACUCCUGAAUGUGUCCUCUGACCAACGUACUCGGCAUACGCAUGCGCACAAGUGAGCACAUAUACUCCAAAUGUCGUCAAAUAAAGAACCAUUCAUUGAAGAAGU
rnacentral:lncRNA from 1 species